rnacentral:misc_RNA from 1 species
UCCGGUUUGUCACCGGCAGUCUCAUUAGAGUGCCCAACUGAAUGUAGCAACUAAUGACAAGGGUUGCGCUCGUUGCGGGACUUAACCCAACAUCUCACGACACGAGCUGACGACAGCCAUGCAGCACCUGUGUUCCGAUUCCCUUUCGGACACCCUCACAUCUCUGUGAGGUUCCGUACAUGUCAAGGGUAGGUAAGGUUUUUCGCGUUGCAUCGAAUUAAACCACAUACUCCACCGCUUGUGCGGGCCCCCGUCAAUUCCUUUGAGUUUCAGUCUUGCGAUCGUACUCCCCAGGCGGAAUGCUUAAUGCGUUAGCUGCGCCACCGAAGAGCAAGCUCCCCAACGGCUGGCAUUCAUCGUUUACGGCGUGGACUAC